CCUUUGUGAACAUACCUAUAACUGUUGCUUCGGCGGGUAGGGUCUCCGUGACCCUCCCGGCCUCCCGCCCCCGGGCGGGUCGGCGCCCGCCGGAGGAUAACCAAACUCUGAUUUAACGACGUUUCUUCUGAGUGGUACAAGCAAAUAAUCAAAACUUUUAACAACGGAUCUCUUGGUUCUGGCAUCGAUGAAGAACGCAGCGAAAUGCGAUAAGUAAUGUGAAUUGCAGAAUUCAGUGAAUCAUCGAAUCUUUGAACGCACAUUGCGCCCGCCAGCAUUCUGGCGGGCAUGCCUGUUCGAGCGUCAUUUCAACCCUCAAGCUCUGCUUGGUGUUGGGGCCCUACAGCUGAUGUAGGCCCUCAAAGGUAGUGGCGGACCCUCCCGGAGCCUCCUUUGCGUAGUAACUUUACGUCUCGCACUGGGAUCCGGAGGGACUCUUGCCGUAAAACCCCCCAAUUUUCCAAAGGUUGACCUCGGAUCAGGUAGGAAUACCCGCUGAACUUAAGCAUA
rnacentral:rRNA from 1 species